AUUGAACGCUGGCGGCAGGCUUAACACAUGCAAGUCGAGCGAGCGGCGGACGGGUGAGUAAUGUCUGGGAAACUGCCUGAUGGAGGGGGAUAACUACUGGAAACGGUAGCUAAUACCGCAUACCAUCAGAUGUGCCCAGAUGGGAUUAGCUAGUAGGUGGGGUAACGGCUCACCUAGGCGACGAUCCCUAGCUGGUCUGAGAGGAUGACCGGCCACACUGGAACAGAGACACGCGCCAGACUCCGACGGGAGGCAGCAGUGGGGAAUAUUGCACAAUGGGCGCAAGCCUGAUGCAGCCAUGCUGCGAGUAUGAAGAAGACCUUCGGGUUGUAAAGUACUUUCAGCGAGGAGGCGUUACUCGCAGAAGAAGCACCGGCUAACUCCGUGCCAGCAGCCGCGGAAAUUC
rnacentral:rRNA from 1 species